GUGGAUUAGAUACCCUAGUAGUCCACGCCGUAAACGAUGGGCACUAGGUCCUUGGGGGAGCGACCCCGUGAGGGCCGGCGCUAACGCAUUAAGUGCCCCGCCUGGGGAGUACGGCCGCAAGGCUGAAACUCAAAGGAAUUGACGGGGGCCCGCACAAGCGGUGGAGCAUGUGGUUUAAUUCGACGCAACGCGAAGAACCUUACCUAGGCUUGACAUGGCCGGGAAAGCCAGGGGAAACCUUGGCCCCUCUUCGGAGUCCGGUCACAGGUGCUGCACGGUCGUCGUCAACU
rnacentral:rRNA from 1 species